rnacentral:rRNA from 1 species
UCCCAGACUCCUACGGGAGGCAGCAGUGAGGAAUAUUGGUCAAUGGCCGUAAGCCUGAACCAGCCAAGUCGCGUGAGGGAUGACGGCCCUACGGGUUGUAAACCUCUUUUGCCGGGGGACAAACGGCGGCACGCGUGCCGUCCUGAGGGUACCCGGAGAAAAAGCAUCGGCUAACUCCGUGCCAGCAGCCGCGGUAAUACGUAGGUGGCAAGCGUUAUCCGGAUUUACUGGGUGUAAAGGGCGUGUAGGCGGGAAAGCAAGUCAGAUGUGAAAACCAUGGGCUCAACCUGUGGCCUGCAUUUGAAACUGUUUUUCUUGAGUACUGGAGAGGCAGACGGAAUUCCUAGUGUAGCGGUGAAAUGCGUAGAUAUUAGGAGGAACACCAGUGGCGAAGGCGGUCUGCUGGACAGCAACUGACGCUGAGGCGCGAAAGCGUGGGGAGCAAACAGGAUUAGAUACCCCAGUAG